rnacentral:rRNA from 1 species
UACAGAGGUCUCAAGCGUUGUUCGGAUUCAUUGGGCGUAAAGGGUGCGUAGGCGGCGCGGUAAGUCGGGUGUGAAAUUUCGGGAGCUUAACUCCGAAACUGCAUUCGAUACUGGCGUGCUUGAGGACUGGAGAGGAGACUGGAAUUCAUGGUGUAGCAGUGAAAUGCGUAGAGAUCAUGAGGAAGACCAGUGGCGAAGGCGGGUCUCUGGACAGUUCCUGACACUGAGACACGAAGGCCAGGGGAGCGAAACGGG